ACACCGAUGGUGAAAUGGUAUCAUGCAUCGUUGCCAAGCGAGUUCGAUGCGGUGGGGGUUCGAUUCCCCCUCGGUGUA
rnacentral:tRNA from 2 species